UACGGGGGGGGGCAAGCGUUUGUUCGGAAUUACUGGGCGUAAAGGGCUCGUAGGCGGCCAACUAAGUCAGACGUGAAAUCCCUCGGCUUAACCGGGGAACUGCGUCUGAUACUGGAUGGCUAGAGUUUGGGAGAGGGAUGCGGAAUUCCAGGUGUAGCGGUGAAAUGCGUAGAUAUCUGGAGGAACACCGGUGGCGAAGGCGGCAUCCUGGACCGACAUUGACGCUGAUGAGCGAAAGCUAGGGGAGCAAACGGG
rnacentral:rRNA from 1 species